rnacentral:lncRNA from 1 species
GGGAGCCAAGCCGCUUGUUCUUCAAUUGCCAAUUGGCUCUGAAGAUAACUUUAAGGGUGUUGUUGAUCUUGUGAGGAUGAAAGCAAUAGUUUGGUCAGGAGAAGAGUUGGGUGCAAAGUUUCAGUAUGAAGAUAUUCCAGAAGACCUUGUGGAUCUUGCUCAAGACUAUCGGUCACAGAUGAUUGAGACUGUUGUUGAGUUGGAUGAUGAAGCCAUGGAGAACUAUUUGGAAGGGAUCGAACCUGAUGAGGCUACAAUUAAGAAGCUUAUUCGGAAGGGAGCAAUAUCUGCUUGUUUUGUUCCAGUACUGUGUGG